UACGUAGGGGGCAAGCGUUGUCCGGAAUCAUUGGGCGUAAAGCGCGUGUAGGCGGCCCGGUAAGUCCGCUGUGAAAGUCGGGGGCUCAACCCUCGGAUGCCGGUGGAUACUGUCGGGCUAGAGUGCGGGAGAGGCGAGUGGAAUUCCUGGUGUAGCGGUGAAAUGCGCAGAUAUCAGGAGGAACACCAAUUGCGAAAGCAGCUCGCUGGAACGUUACUGACGCUGAGACGCGAAAGCGUGGGGAGCAAACAGG
rnacentral:rRNA from 1 species